CUUCGGAUGUGAAAACCUGAGGCUCAACCUCAGGCCUGCAUUCGAUACGGUCAAACUAGAGUUUGGUAGGGGAGACUGGAAUCCCUGGUGUAGCGGUGGAAUGCGCAGAUAUCAGGAGGAACACCAAUAGCGAAGGCAGGUCUCUGGGCCAAUACCGACAUUGAGGAGCGAAAGCCUGGGGAGCGAACAGGAUUAGAUACCCUGGUAGUCCAGACCGUAAACGGUGGGCACUAGUUGUGGGAACCUUCCACGGUUUCUGCGUCGCAGCUAACGCAUUAAGUGCCCCGCCUGGGAAGUACGAUCGCAAGAUUAAAACUCAAAGGAAUUGACGGGACCCCGCACAAGCAGCGGAGCAUGCGGCUUAAUUCGACGCUACGCGAAGAACCUUACCAAGGCUUGACAUAUAGGGAAAAGUGGCAGAGAUGUCUUGUCCGCAAGGGCUCUAUACAGGUGGUGCAUGGUCGUCGUCAGCUCGUGCCGUGAGAUGUUAGGUUAAGUCCCGCAACGAGCGCAACCCUCGUUCUGUGUUGCCAGCAUUUAGU
rnacentral:rRNA from 1 species